UCGAGCGCUACCUUCGGGUGGAGCGGCGGACGGGUUAGUAACGCGUGGGAAUAUACCCUUCACUAUGGAAUAGCCUCGGGAAACUGAGAGUAAUACCAUAUACGCCCUUCGGGGGAAAGAUUUAUCGGUGAAGGAUUAGCCCGCGUAAGAUUAGAUAGUUGGUGGGGUAAUGGCCUACCAAGUCUACGAUCUUUAGCUGGUUUUAGAGGAUGAUCAGCAACACUGGGACUGAGACACGGCCCAGACUCCUACGGGAGGCAGCAGUGGGGAAUCUUAGACAAUGGGCGAAAGCCUGAUCUAGCCAUGCCGCGUGAGUGAUGAAGGUCUUAGGAUCGUAAAGCUCUUUCGCUAGGGAUGAUAAUGACAGUACCUAGUAAAGAAGCCCCGGCUAACUCCGUGCCAGCAGCCGCGGUAAUACGGAGGGGGCUAGCGUUGUUCGGAAUUACUGGGCGUAAAGCGUACGUAGGCGGUUUGUUAAGUGUGAUGUGAAAGCCCAGGGCUCAACCUUGGAACUGCAUCACAUACUGGCAAGCUAGA
rnacentral:rRNA from 1 species